rnacentral:rRNA from 1 species
GGUUAAGCGACUAAGCGUACACGGUGGAUGCCCUGGCAGUCAGAGGCGAUGAAGGACGUGCUAAUCUGCGAAAAGCGCCGGCGAGGUGAUAUGAACCCUUGACCCGGCGAUGUCCGAAUGGGGAAACCCAGUGCAAUCCGUUGCACUAUCGUUAACUGAAUACAUAGGUUAACGAGGCGAACCGGGGGAACUGAAACAUCUAAGUACCCCGAGGAAAAGAAAUCAACCGAGAUUCCCCCAGUAGCGGCGAGCGAACGGGGAGCAGCCCGGAGUCUGAAUCAGCUUGUGUGUUAGUGGAACGGUCUGGAAAGUCCGACGGUACAGGGUGAUAGUCCCGUACACGAAAGCACACUUGCUGUGAACUCGAAGAGUAGGGCGGGACACGUGGUAUCCUGUCUGAAUAUGGGGGGACCAUCCUCCAAGGCUAAAUACUCCUGACUGACCGAUAGUGAACCAGUACCGUGAGGGAAAGGCGAAAAGAACCCCGGCGAGGGGAGUGAAAAAGAACCUGAAACCGUGUACGUACAAGCAGUGGGAGCCUCUUUAUGGGGUGACUGCGUACCUUUUGUAUAAUGGGUCAGCGACUUAUAUUCUGUAGCAAGGUUAACCGUAUAGGGGAGCCGAAGGGAAACCGAGUCUUAACUGGGCGUUAAGUUGCAGGGUAUAGACCCGAAACCCGGUGAUCUAGCCAUGGGCAGGUUGAAGGUUGGGUAACACUAACUGGAGGACCGAACCGACUAAUGUUGAAAAAUUAGCGGAUGACCUGUGGCUGGGGGUGAAAGGCCAAUCAAACCGGGAGAUAGCUGGUUCUCCCCGAAAGCUAUUUAGGUAGCGCCUCGUGAACUCAUCUUCGGGGGUAGAGCACUGUUUCGGCUAGGGGGCCAUCCCGGCUUACCAACCCGAUGCAAACUACGAAUACCGAAGAAUGUUAUCACGGGAGACACACGGCGGGUGCUAACGUCCGUCGUGAAGAGGGAAACAACCCAGACCGCCAGCUAAGGUCCCAAAGUCAUGGUUAAGUGGGAAACGAUGUGGGAAGGCACAGACAGCCAGGAUGUUGGCUUAGAAGCAGCCAUCAUUUAAAGAAAGCGUAAUAGCUCACUGGUCGAGUCGGCCUGCGCGGAAGAUGUAACGGGGCUAAACCAUGCACCGAAGCUGCGGCAGCGACACUAUGUGUUGUUGGGUAGGGGAGCGUUCUGUAAGCCGUUGAAGGUGGCCUGUGAGGGUUGCUGGAGGUAUCAGAAGUGCGAAUGCUGACAUAAGUAACGAUAAAGCGGGUGAAAAGCCCGCUCGCCGGAAGACCAAGGGUUCCUGUCCAACGUUAAUCGGGGCAGGGUGAGUCGACCCCUAAGGCGAGGCCGAAAGGCGUAGUCGAUGGGAAACAGGUUAAUAUUCCUGUACUUGGUGUUACUGCGAAGGGGGGACGGAGAAGGCUAUGUCAGCCGGGCGACGGUUGUCCCGGUUUAAGCAUGUAGGCGGAGGUUCCAGGUAAAUCCGGUACCUUAUUAACGCUGAGGUGUGAUGACGAGGCACUACGGUGCUGAAGUGAUAAAUGCCCUGCUUCCAGGAAAAGCCUCUAAGCAUCAGGUAACACGAAAUCGUACCCCAAACCGACACAGGUGGUCAGGUAGAGAAUACCAAGGCGCUUGAGAGAACUCGGGUGAAGGAACUAGGCAAAAUGGUGCCGUAACUUCGGGAGAAGGCACGCUGAUGUGUAGGUGAAGCCCCUGCGGGCGGAGCUGAAAUCAGUCGAAGAUACCAGCUGGCUGCAACUGUUUAUUAAAAACACAGCACUGUGCAAACACGAAAGUGGACGUAUACGGUGUGACGCCUGCCCGGUGCCGGAAGGUUAAUUGAUGGGGUUAGCGGCAACGCGAAGCUCUUGAUCGAAGCCCCGGUAAACGGCGGCCGUAACUAUAACGGUCCUAAGGUAGCGAAAUUCCUUGUCGGGUAAGUUCCGACCUGCACGAAUGGCGUAAUGAUGGCCAGGCUGUCUCCACCCGAGACUCAGUGAAAUUGAACUCGCUGUGAAGAUGCAGUGUACCCGCGGCAAGACGGAAAGACCCCGUGAACCUUUACUAUAGCUUGACACUGAACACUGGUCCUUGAUGUGUAGGAUAGGUGGGAGGCUUUGAAGCGUGGACGCCAGUCUGCGUGGAGCCAACCUUGAAAUACCACCCUUUAAUGGCUGGUGUUCUAACGUAGACCCGUAAUCCGGGUUGCGGACAGUGUCUGGUGGGUAGUUUGACUGGGGCGGUCUCCUCCCAAAGAGUAACGGAGGAGCACGAAGGUUGGCUAAUCCUGGUCGGACAUCAGGAGGUUAGUGCAAUGGCAUAAGCCAGCUUGACUGCGAGCGUGACGGCGCGAGCAGGUGCGAAAGCAGGUCAUAGUGAUCCGGUGGUUCUGAAUGGAAGGGCCAUCGCUCAACGGAUAAAAGGUACUCCGGGGAUAACAGGCUGAUACCGCCCAAGAGUUCAUAUCGACGGCGGUGUUUGGCACCUCGAUGUCGGCUCAUCACAUCCUGGGGCUGAAGUAGGUCCCAAGGGUAUGGCUGUUCGCCAUUUAAAGUGGUACGCGAGCUGGGUUUAGAACGUCGUGAGACAGUUCGGUCCCUAUCUGCCGUGGGCGCUGGAGAAUUGAGGGGGGCUGCUCCUAGUACGAGAGGACCGGAGUGGACGCAUCACUGGUGUUCGGGUUGUCAUGCCAAUGGCACUGCCCGGUAGCUAAAUGCGGAAGAGAUAAGUGCUGAAAGCAUCUAAGCACGAAACUUGCCCCGAGAUGAGUUCUCCCUGAGACCUUGAGUCUCCUGAAGGAACGUUGAAGACGACGACGUUGAUAGGUCGGGUGUGUAAGCGCAGCGAUGCGUUGAGCUAACCGAUACUAAUGAACCGUGAGGCUUAACCUU